rnacentral:rRNA from 1 species
GAACGAGAGGCCGUAGCAAUACGGUAGUACAGUGGCGAACGGGUGAGGAAUACGUGGGUGACCUACCCUUGAGUGGGGAAUAACUCGCCGAAAGGUGGGCUAAUACCGCAUACGCUUCCGGGUUUGCGGAUCCGGAAGGAAAGCCGUACCGUAGGUACGGCGCUCUUGGAUGGGCUCACGUCCUAUCAGCUUGUUGGUAGGGUAACGGCCUACCAAGGCAACGACGGGUAGCUGGUCUGAGAGGACGAUCAGCCACACUGGCACUGCGACACGGGCCAGACUCCUACGGGAGGCAGCAGUGAGGAAUAUUGCGCAAUGGGCGAAAGCCUGACGCAGCGACGCCGCGUGGGGGAUGAAGGUCUUCGGAUUGUAAACCCCUUUCAGGAGGGAAGAUGGGGCGGACAACCGCUCGGACGGUACCUCCAGAAGAAGCCACGGCUAACUUCGUGCCAGCAGCCGCGGUAAUACGAAGGUGGCAAGCGUUGUUCGGAUUUACUGGGCGUAAAGAGAGCGUAGGCGGUUUGGUAAGCCCUGCGGGAAAGCUCCCGGCUCAACCGGGA